GCCCUUAAGGGCAAGGAACUUAGCCAAAAGAAUAGUAAAGGAAUGUGUCACUUGUACUAGAAUUAAAGGUCGAGGCAGUCCUAAAUUCUCGUCCUCUGUCACCCAUGUCCUCUGUCACCCAUGUCCUCUGAUCCUCAAGACCUUCUUCCCCUCACACCUGCUCAAUUCCUGAUCGGACGCACGCUGAUGGCCACGGCGAGCGACGACAUGAUGGCAGUACCAGCAUCCCAGCUGACUCGCUACACCAAGCUUGAACAACUAAGACAACACUUCUGGCAGCGCUGGUCUCGAGAGUACGUGACGGAGCUGCAGCAGAGGACUAAAUGGUAACCAGCCAGACAUGAGGCUGGAUACGUUGGUGAUCAUCAAGGAGGAUAAUUAGCCGCCUCUGCGGUGGAAAAUGGGCCGCAUCGUCAAAACAUUUCCUGGCCCUGACGGAGUAUCACGUGUCGCUGACAUUCGCACUGCUACGGGCAUUGUACGUCGUGCAUUCUCCAAGAUCUGCCCAUUACCGUUACCAGAGGAGCAGGAAGGUGCU